AGCUCUGUAGUAUAAAAUACAUGGGAUUGCAAAUCCUAAGAAGGAGAAUAAGAUUCUCCCGGAGCUU
rnacentral:tRNA from 1 species